AGUGGGACGACGUCAAGUCAGCAUGACCUUUAUAUCCAGGGCUACACACACGCUACAAUGGUCAGUACAAUGGGUUGCCAAGCCGCGAGGCGGAGCCAAUCCUAAAAAGCUGGCCUCAGUUCAGAUUGCAGUCUGAAACUCGACUGCAUGAAGUCGGAGUUGCUAGUAAACGCAGGUCAGCUAUACUGCGUUGAAUACGUUCCCGGGGCUU
rnacentral:rRNA from 1 species